rnacentral:tmRNA from 1 species
GGGGAUGAUCGGUUUCGACAGCGUCUCGAUUGCUGCGGGAAGCGGGUAGAGGAUGCAGGGUCAUCUCUUCAACGCCCCCUGCAAACCAAUAGGUGCCAAUGCAAAGCGCACCGACUUCGCCCUCGCUGCCUAAGCGAGCCUGAAGUCCGUCAGACCGGGGUCGCUCUCGCCCCGGACCCUGGCGUCAUCUGAGAGCUCGCUGCGAUGCUGCGUCACAGGGCAUCGCGGGACUUGAACUGUGACUGGGCUCGUCGACCUAGGUGCUCAGGACAAAGGUCGGAGCCGAGCAGAACGCCACCCUUGAGCUGCACCCGGAGAAGCCGCACGAUGUGAGCGUUGGACGGGGGUUCGAUUCCCCCCAUCUCCACCA